CUGCCGGCAAAUAAUCUUACGUUGGGUUACAAAUUCAAAUCUAUCAAAAAAUGAAUCAAUAAUUAUUUUUCUACUGAAUAUUGGUGUAAAAUUCCUGGAAAAUGACCAAUAGAACGCAGCACAGGUUCUUCUUGAUAUGAUUUAAAUGAAAACUACCCGGAAAAUCACACAUGUAUUCCAUAAUAAAAAAAGUUUUAAGAUAAGGAAUCGAAAUUUGAAGAGCUAAAAUUACGAUAAAUUUUUUUCUACAACCCAUUGAUUGGUGCGUGGUUUAAUGAGGGGUAAACCACCCUUAGCACGGUUACGGUACUGCUUGGUGACUCGUAGCUUCAUUGAUUGCAACGUCGUACACCAGGACAUCGGACGCCAUCGUGUAGCCGACUGCCGUCGAGGAGUAACAGAGACAUGCGCUUAUGAAAAUUAAAUAAAGACAGAGAUAGGAAAAAGAAUGAUGAAUAAAUAUAUAUAAAUUUAUAUAUAUAGUAAGAAAUAAAAAAUAAAAUCGGAUAGGAGAAACUGUGUCGAUCGUACAUACUAGGGGUUGUACUAUCGAUUUUUAUACUAAUAAGAAUUAAAUUUUUUAAUUUAUUAAUUUUAUCUCAACGAAAUAUAUUCAAGUUUUGAAUUUUUUAAAAUUAAAUCAAUGUGUAUGAGUAUAUUUUCAUAAACUUUUUCUAUAAAAAAAUGAAUGAGCAAAUAAACAACAAUAAGAUUAUAGUUUGAUGCCGGUAUUGUUGGUAAUAAAAAUUAUGUGGACUCAACAACUUAAUACCCAAUCGAUUUCCCAGUGUGCUCAGUGAACCGGGAAAUCCCGGGUUACACCGCGAGUAUAGUAGUAACGCUCGGUUAUCGUACGUCAUUGAUUCUCAACCAGACUGAUGAGAAGACUAGUAUAGACGAUACGAAUAUAAGCAAGAGCUUACAACCAGUAUACUAAAUAGAG